rnacentral:rRNA from 1 species
CAGUCGCCGCGGUAAUACAGAGGGUGCGAGCGUUAAUCGGAUUUACUGGGCGUAAAGCGUGCGUAGGCGGCUUCUUAAGUCGGAUGUGAAAUCCCUGAGCUUAACUUAGGAAUUGCAUUCGAUACUGGGAAGCUAGAGUAUGGGAGAGGAUGGUAGAAUUCCAGGUGUAGCGGUGAAAUGCGUAGAGAUCUGGAGGAAUACCGAUGGCGAAGGCAGCCAUCUGGCCUAAUACUGACGCUGAGGUACGAAAGCAUGGGGAGCAAACAGGAUUAGAUACCCCCGUAGUCCCUGUCUCUUAUAU